rnacentral:lncRNA from 1 species
GUUCUCUUGGCUCUAUAGUGUCCACUUUGAGACAUGGCUUGAAUAAUCUUUGGGAAGGGGCCAGGCUGGGAGCUUGAUCUCACUUAAAUGAUUGUAUGAAAUGGCCAUUUGCAAAAGAAUAUAGUGCAAGAUGGAAGAAUGAAGUGACCACCUCUAGAUUCUAUUCUAACGGACGUGUGGCAUUUUCCCAGGCUAUUCGGGGAUAGGCAAGAAAGGGAAUCUAGAAUACCGAAGAGAGAACUCUGCAGAGCUGUGAGGACCAGAAGGAAGCCACAUUGUUUAUCCUGAAAGAAAAAGAAACAAGUGUGAAGAUUUCGAGAGCUGGAGGUGAAACAAGUAUCACUCAGCCUACAGAGAAUGCAAACCUCAUGAAUGUAUAUGUCUUGUUCAGCAGCACCUACACUUGUUUUUGACAAGUGAUACUAAAU